rnacentral:rRNA from 1 species
CACGGGGGGAGCAAGCGUUGUUCGGAAUCACUGGGCGUAAAGGGCGUGUAGGCGGUCAGGUAAGUGAGAUGUGAAAUGCCCCGGCUCACCCGGGGACCGGCAUCUCAUACUGCUUGGCUUGAGUACGGGAGAGGAUGUGGGAAUUCCUGGUGUAGCGGUGAAAUGCGUAGAUAUCAGGAAGAACACCAACGGCGAAGGCAGCUCGCUGGGACGGAACUGACGCUAAGGCGCGAAAGCGUGGGGAGCGAACAGG